GUCAACCACCCCCGGCUAAAGCCGGAGGCUUGCAUAAAGCCUGGGUUGACUAGCCUCAGCACUAUUAUGGUGCUACGUUGGCUGGGAAUAUAUUCGUAGGCACUACGGGAUGUCUGCUCUAGUCCCG
rnacentral:sRNA from 1 species